UGGGGAAUUUUGGACAAUGGGCGAAAGCCUGAUCCAGCAAUGCCGCGUGUGUGAAGAAGGCCUUCGGGUUGUAAAGCACUUUUGUCCGGAAAGAAAUCCUCUGGGUUAAUACCUCGGGGGGAUGACGGUACCGGAAGAAUAAGCACCGGCUAACUACGUGCAGCAGCCGCGGUAUGAACGUAGGGGUGCAAGCGUUAAUCGGAAUUACUGGGCGUAAAGCGUGCGCAGGCGGUUUUGUAAGACGGAUGUGAAAUCCCCGGGCUUAACCUGGGAACUGCAUUCGUGACUGCAAGGCUAGAGUAUGGCAGAGGGGGGUAGAACUCCACGUGUAGCAGUGAAAUGCGUAGAGAUGUGGAGGAAUACCGAUGGCGAAGGCAGCCCCCUGGGCCAAUACUGACGCUCAUGCACGAAAGCGUGGGGAGCAAACAGGAUUAGAUACCCUGGUAGUCCACGCCCUAAACGAUGUCAACUAGUUGUUGGGGAUUCAUUUCCUUAGUAACGUAGCUAACGCGUGAAGUUGACCGCCUGGGGAGUACGGUCGCAAGAUUAAAACUCAAAUGAAUUGACGGGGUCAUAGCUGUUUCCU
rnacentral:rRNA from 1 species